rnacentral:rRNA from 1 species
CUGGCUGUAAACGAUGUUCACUAGGUGUAGGAGGUAUCGACCCCUUCUGUGCCGCAGCUAACGCAAUAAGUGAACCGCCUGGGGAGUACGGCCGCAAGGUUGAAACUCAAAGGAAUUGACGGGGGCCCGCACAAGCGGUGGAGCAUGUGGUUUAAUUCGACGCAACGCGAAGAACCUUACCAGGGCUUGACAUCCCUUGCUGUCUGUAGAAAUACAGAGUUCAGCUUGCUGACAAGGAGACAGGUGG